rnacentral:rRNA from 1 species
CGCGUAGGUGGUUUGAUAAGCGAGAUGUGAAAGCCCCGGGCUUAACCUGGGAACGGCAUUUCGAACUGUCAGGCUAGAGUAUGGUAGAGGAGUGUGGAAUUUCCUGUGCAGCGGUGAAAUGCGUAGAUAUAGGAAGGAACACCAGUGGCGAAGGCGGCACUCUGGACCAAUACUGACACUGAGGUGCGAAAGCGUGGGGAGCAAACA